CUUUACGGCGGUCUACACAUGUUAGUCGCAGCGCGAGCGGGUUAUCUGAACCUUCGGGGGACGAUAACGGCGUCGAGCGGCGGACGGGUGAGUAAUGCCUAGGAAAUUGCCCUGGUGUGGGGGAUAACCAUUGGAAACGAUGGCUAAUACCGCAUAAUACCUACGGGUCAAAGAGGGGGACCUUCGGGCCUCUCGCGUCAGGAUAUGCCUAGGUGGGAUUAGCUAGUUGGUGAGGUAAUGGCUCACCAAGGCGACGAUCCCUAGCUGGUCUGAGAGGAUGAUCAGCCACACUGGAACUGAGACACGGUCCAGACUCCUACGGGAGGCAGCAGUGGGGAAUAUUGCACAAUGGGCGCAAGCCUGAUGCAGCCAUGCCGCGUGUGUGAAGAAGGCCUUCGGGUUGUAAAGCACUUUCAGUCGUGAGGAAGGUAGUGUAGUUAAUAGCUGCAUUAUUUGACGUUAGCGACAGAAGAAGCACCGGCUAACUCCGUGCCAGCAGCCGCGGUUAUACGGAGGGUGCGAGCGUUAAUCGGAAUUACUGGGCGUAAAGCGCAUGCAGGUGGUUUGUUAAGUCAGAUGUGAAAGCCCGGGGCUCAACCUCGGAAUAGCAUUUGAAACUGGCAGACUAGAGUACUGUAGAGGGGGGUAGAAUUUCAGGUGUAGCGGUGAAAUGCGUAGAGAUCUGAAGGAAUACCGGUGGCGAAGGCGGCCCCCUGGACAGAUACUGACACUCAGAUGCGAAAGCGUGGGGAGCAAACAGGAUUAGAUACCCUGGUAGUCCACGCCGUAAACGAUGUCUACUUGGAGGUUGUGGCCUUGAGCCGUGGCUUUCGGAGCUAACGCGUUAAGUAGACCGCCUGGGGAGUACGGUCGCAAGAUUAAAACUCAAAUGAAUUGACGGGGGCCCGCACAAGCGGUGGAGCAUGUGGUUUUAAUUCGAUGCAACGCGAAGAACCCUUACCUACUCUUGACAUCCAGAGAACUUUUCCAGGAGAUGGAUUUGUGCCUUUCGGGAACUCUGAGACAGGUGCUGCAUGGCUGUCGUCAGCUCGUGUUGUGAAUGGUGGGUAGUCCCGCAACCGAGCGCACCGUAAUCAUGAUUGCCAGCACGUCGGAUGAACUCAGGGAGUACUGCCCUGGGGUGAUAAAAAUCU
rnacentral:rRNA from 1 species